rnacentral:rRNA from 1 species
UACGGGGGGGGGUAAGCGUUGUUCGGAAUUACUGGGCGUAAAGGGCUCGUAGGCGGCCAACUAAGUCAGACGUGAAAUCCCUCAGCUUAACUGGGGAACUGCGUCUGAUACUGGAUGGCUUGGAUUCGGGAGAGGAAUGCGGAAUUCCAGGUGUAGCGGUGAAAUGCGUAGAUAUCUGGAGGAAUACCGGUGGCGAAGGCGGCAUCCUGGACCGGCAUUGACGCUGAGGAGCGAAAGCCAGGGGAGCAAACGGG